rnacentral:rRNA from 1 species
GACGAACGCUGGCGGCGUGCUUAACACAUGCAAGUCGAACGGAAAGGCCCUGCUUUUGUGGGGUGCUCGAGUGGCGAACGGGUGAGUAACACGUGAGUAACCUGCCCUUGACUUUGGGAUAACUUCAGGAAACUGGGGCUAAUACCGGAUAGGAGCUCCUGCUGCAUGGUGGGGGUUGGAAAGUUUCGGCGGUUGGGGAUGGACUCGCGGCUUAUCAGCUUGUUGGUGGGGUAGUGGCUUACCAAGGCUUUGACGGGUAGCCGGCCUGAGAGGGUGACCGGCCACAUUGGGACUGAGAUACGGCCCAGACUCCUACGUGAGGCAGCAGUGGGGAAUAUUGCACAAUGGGCGGAAGCCUGAUGCAGCAACGCCGCGUGCGGGAUGACGGCCUUCGGGUUGUAAACCGCUUUCGCCUGUGACGAAGCGGGAGUGACGGUAAUGGGUAAAGAAGCACCGGCUAACUACGUG